AAAAGCCGUCUCAGUUCGGAUUGUUCUCUGCAACUCGAGAGCAUGAAGGCGGAAUCGCUAGUAAUCGCGGAUCAGCAUGCCGCGGUGAAUACGUUCCCAGGCCUUGUACACACCGCCCGUCACACCAUGGGAGUUGGKUUCACCCGAAGGCRKUGCKCUAACYCGCAAGRGAGGMAGSYGACCACGGUGGGMUYAGCGACUGGGGUGAAGUCGUAACAAGGUAGCCGUAGGGGAACCUGCGGCUGGAUCACCUCCUUUCUAAGG
rnacentral:rRNA from 1 species